UCCGCGACCGCGGGAGGUUCGACUGCGGCUGCCAGCUUGGUGCUCUCAGAACUCCAUCCCCCGCCGGCCCCCGCGACCUAGGCCUUUGCCUUUUCCUGUCCAGGGGACUUAGAAGCCUCGCUGUGGCAAGUUGAGAAGAUUGGGGAAGGGGUGUACUCCUUCCCGCCAAACGCUCUGAGUUUCUGGGCUUGGCCUGCUCAGGGAGAGCCCGUUCCGGGUUUUGCAAACUCACCUCCGGGGAAGGAGCGGAGGGAAGAGGGGAGAAGCGGCCUGAACGACUGAGCUUGCAUCGGAGCGCGCUGUCACUCGGGGAAGUUCUUUGGGGAAACGCGUCGGAACGGUGGCUUCUUGCGGGAGCGGUGAGGCCAAAGCUGGGGCCCGUGGAGUCCUGUCCGGAGGGGCGGCGCGCGCUCCUGCAGGGUUCGGUUGCCAGCAAAGUAGGGGACUCAGUCCGUGGCUGGGAGAACUCGAGGGGCUGUGGGAGUCGUGUCUGCCGGAGCCUUAAGGAAAAGGCAAGGUUACAGUGGGUGAAGACCCAGGUUAUCCAGGGGCCGACUCCAGCAGGCUGCAAUCAAACUUGCCAACAGUUGGCUGCCAUUUUGGUUCAGCUAACCAGAAACACCAGUAAGAGAUUAGAAUCUUGGAAGACAGAGCAAUCAAAGGUUUUUCUCCUUCCUCUGCAUCAGGUGACUUGUCCUUCAAUAGUUCCAUAUUCUCCAUGGCUCCAGCCAUUCAACCAUGAGGUUGACCCAUCGUGGCUCUGGAUCCAACACCCAGGUUCCAGUAACACGAUCUCCUUUCUUUGCCAUUUCAUCCCAGAGGUGACUGAUUUCCUCAUGUUGCUAAUAAUUGGGUUUCCCAAUUCUCUCCUGCUUGGCUACCUACCACUUUUGAAACCAACCCCAUGCAUUAAGUUCCCUCCAUGUUAAAUAUUUACGGUGGUUUCUAUUUUCCUGGACAAUCCUUGGCUGUUAUAUGCAACCAAUUAUAAUGACUGAUCUUCUAGUGUUAAACUCUUUUGUAUUCUUGACAUAAACCCAGCUCUGUCACCAGCAGGUAAAUAUGCUUGUCUCUUCUGUAAUUAAUAAAAAUAAUUUACAAAACAAAAUACCCCUGGGCUCUGAAACUUUCCCCAAAUAAAGUAUCUUUCAUCAUCAUCUUCAUGGCCUUCUCAAAAAUAAAUUUUACACUCAGUAGUUUUGGGGCAUAUAUUGAAAAAUUCUAAUAACAUAAGUAAUAGAGUGAUUUAGCCGACUUGUAAAAAAAAAUUCAAGCAAUAUACAUGAAGUUAAAUAGCAUGACUGUGCAACAGAUCCAAAAUGGUACUCAAAGGGAAAUAUAUAGCCUUAAACAGAUGUAUUAGAAAACAAGAGCUAUUUAUUUAUUUAUUUUUAACAAGAGCUAUUUAAAUCACCCAAGAACUUCAAGAAGCUAGGUAAUCAACAUCAUAUGAAACUUUAAGUAAUAGAAGGUAGGAAAGAAUAAAGGUACAUAUAGAAAUAAUGAAUUAGAAAGCAGUAAGGCCAAAAAACAAAUGCCAAUUACUUGAAAAUAUUUAUGAAACAGACUUUUUUUGAAAAUAUGACCAGAUACUAAAGAAAAAAAUAACACAUAAACAAAAUAAGUUAAAACUGUAUAAACUAUAGAUGCAAAAGAUAUUUAAAUGAUGUAAAAGCACAGCAAAUAUGUUAUAUGAUUCCCUCAAGAGAAGCAAAUGCUGGCCAAGGAAAAGUUUCUACAUAUGAAAGUAUUUCAGGUGAUAAACUAAAACUGAAUGAGAGAAUUUGAAAAUUAACCCUCUGCAACCCCCAAUAGGUAAAUGAAGGUGAGGAUCAUCAAUGACUGCCAACAAAGGACAACAAACAUUAUGUUCUUCUUAAUGGAAGUACCUGGCAUCACCUAGGUAGCAGUCUUGUAAAUAAACAAGUUCAUCAAGCUUCUACCUGUAACUACCAAUUUAAAGAAAGUGUUAAAUGACAUCAAACUGUUUCAUUCAACAUAAUCUGUAUUACGGAAAACUUGAAAAAUACAAAACCUGCUUUUUUUCACAACAAAAACUACAGGGAAAAAAAAGAUGAUGCAGGGGAAACCUGUUGAUUAAAAAAGACUUAAGGAACAGAAAAAAAUCACAAUAUAUAGACUGUAUUUGUGAUCCAAACAAACUAAAAAAAAAAAAGUAAUGUGUAAGGUAAAUGUUAAAAAUUACUAGAUAUUUGCUCUUGUUAAAACAUUUAAAUUUUUAGGAAUGAUCAUUGUUUGGGGUUUAUGUUUUAUAAAAGAUUCCUUGUCUGUUAGCAAUUCUUACUGACAUACUUAGAGAUGAAUCAUCCUGAUGUCUUGGACUACCUUCACAUUAGUCCAUUGGCAGAGAUGUGGGGAAGGUGAGGGUACAUUGGAACCAGACCAGCCAUGUACUGCAGAUGAUUGAUGCUGGCUGCCCAGUAUAUUGGGUCCCUUAUACCAUUCUCUACUGCUGUAUAUGUCUUACAGUUUCUGUUAUAAUGAUAAUUUUUUAUCAUAAAUAUCAUGCAAUUAAAUUUGAAAUUCUAGGUGAAAUGGAUUUUUUUUUAAAAGACAAAAUCCAUCCAUAAAGAAGCAGAAAACUUUAAACACUACAAACUUUAACAGUACUCAACACCCAAGCUACCUUCAAAUGUUCCAAGACAGGCAGUUUGGGUGGUCAGUUGUACCAAUGGUCAGGGAAAAUUAAUCUCCAUCUUAUGCAAACUCCUCUAAAGCACACACAAAAAAGCUGGGAAAUUAUUUAACUUAUUUUCCCAGACUAGCUCUCGUCAACUAUAAAACCAGAUGAGUACUCCCACUCCUACCAUGCAAAGAACACUUGAGCACAGUUCAUCCACACGGUGGUAGAUAUCCUAAGCAAACUAAUAGCAUAUUCAAUAUAGCAGUGAAUUACAUGAGCAGACAGGUUAUGGCUAAAGAAUGAAAAUACGAUUCAAACUAGAAAACAGCUCAAUUAUAAUUCUCCACAAUAACAAAUUAGGGGAAAACACUGAAGCAUAUCAGUGGAUGUAGAAAAGCCUCUGAAAUCAAUUUAACAUGAGUACGACUUUAACAAAUAAAGAUUAGAAAGGAACUUCCAUUUCCUAAUAUCAAAAGCAGACACACUUAAGUGUGAAAAGUUUGAUGCAUUCCCAUUAAAGACAGGAACAAGUCAAAGAUGCAUGCUCUACCUUGUACAAUACAAAAAUUCACUAGAACACAGAGUUAGAACUGUGCAUAUCAACGGAAAUAAGAACUAUGAAUAUUGAAAAAGAUAAUAUUUUGUGACAAUAUGGUCAUCUACAUAGGGAAUUCAAAGAAAUUGAUACAUGGAAUACUCAAUAAGAGACCAGAAAAAACUUUGUAUGGAAGAUUACUAUAGCAAAACCAAGAGCCUUGCCACACACACAAAGCACUAACUAUUUAGAAGAUGUAAUUUAAAAAUGCCCCAUUCACAACACAAGCCAAAAAAUUAUCUUAGAAGUCUAACAAAAUAUAUAAAAUCUUAAUAGAGGCUACAACACAAAUUUAUAGAUAGAUAUGGGUAAAAAAAUGUCCCAAAUAAGUCUCUAGCAGUAUACCAUAUUCAUUUAUGGUGGGAAACUGUUAUAAAGAUGUCAAAUCUGCUUAAAUUAUUUAUAGAUUUAGUGCUCUACCUGUAGCUCUCAAGAUGGUGUCGAAGUAUAGGCUGCUGUCUUCUGUUCCCAAAAUCUACCCUGGCAAACUAGAGAAGAGAAAAUGAAGCAAAUGAAAAGCACCAUAUCGACAGCAAAAGCUAAACAACAAAACAUGAGAAGCCUCUGGAGGAGACUGAAUUCUGUGAACAGGAUAAUAAAAUCAAAUGCCAGAGGAAAGGAUGGAGGUGUGUCUGGGGGCAACAGUGUGAGAGAUUCCUGCCCUGCCAUCACAGGGCCAACAGCUGCCAGGCCUGCGAGCUCUGUCCUGUGUAUCCAGCACAUCCUGCAGUCCAACACAUGGGACUCCUCACAGCCACUUGCCUCCCAGAUGAAGAACUGAGGCCAAGGGGCUUGGGCAUCUUCACAGGACCACGUGCUAGUGAGGGCUGGGGUGGGCUCAGAGCCCUGGUCUCCAUUUCUCUGGAGCCCCUGCCCUUCCCGCCCACCCCAGGCCAGGAAUUAAAAAUUCCUCUCUUUAACAUCAGGUUUAUAUCCAAAGAGCCAGCUGAUUAAGUGACAAAUCAGAGUA